AGUCAAUCAUAUAACUAUGUUAACCUCUUCAAUUUCUAAAACAUUUUAAGUGGUAAGCUCUUGAUGAUUCAGAAAUACAUGCCUCCGCUCGUAAAACUUCAAACUGCAUUAUCUCUAAAACGACAAUAGAUAUCUCAAAUCUGUUAAAUGAUAAAUGAUCUACAGUUGAAGGACAACAUUAUAGAAAAAGAAUUUGGACAAUUUCAAAGUUCACCAAGGUCACAAUUAAUCAUCAAAUAUAUGAUGCAAUACAAAACUUGAGAACCGGAAGUCGUAGAGACAUGGGACUAUCACCAUUCAACUCAGGGCCACUUGACCUUUCAAAUAUCACAAGGUCAAAGUCAUAGUAUAAUGUGAAGGUCAAGAUGAAAUUUCAUCAUGACCUGACAUUGACCUCAAAUUGAAGGUCUUGAACUACUGAUCAUCUUUGCAGUUUAUAGUAGGUUGAUAUCUGUUACCUUUAAAAAGAUAUACACACAAUACUAUACUUUUAAGAAUCAUCCCGUCGUAACUUUUGAACAGACAGUCGGACUCUUUUGAGCUCAGAGUAUAAAAUGUAGAGCUCGUCGAGAGGAACAUUUUAUACGCUGCAUACUUACAGCAAACUCUUAUCGUUUUCUUAUCAAGAGAAAAAACUUCCUUAUAAGGGUUAACAACAAAAUGAUUGUAUAUGUUAAUUAACAUUGCCAUCUGGUCCUGUACAUGUUGCCGUUUUCAAAUCGAUUCUAUCUUGAAUACUUUUUGAGAAAAAUGUAAAAGAAUGAAAUUGCUUCAAGGGGACGUAACUCUCAUAGAGAAUGAUGAAAUCCUUAGCAGCCUCAUAUGGUAACACAUCAUGAUGAGAUCUAACUUUUGUCCAAAUAAGGUCAUGAUAUCUUUAAAAACAACGAGGGGGGGGCCAUGUCGAAAAAAACCAAUAAAAGGGAGAUAACUUCUAAAGGGGAUGAUGAAAUCCUACACAGUCUCAUCUGGUAAUACCUCAUGAUGAGGUCUACCGAUGGUCCAUAUUUGGUCUUGAUAACUCUAAUAGAAACGAGGGGAGGCCAUGUCAAACAAAUGCUGGAUGAAAAAAAAAAAAAAAAAAAAAAAAAAAAAAAAAAAAAAAAACAGGAGAAAAACAAUAAGGUCUUUCCUCGCGGAGAGGAAAGACCUUAAUAAUUAAAUUUACUUCUCAAGAUUAUAUCUGGCAUACAGAAUAUCCUGCAAAGUGUUUAUUUUUUCAAUAGAAAAUAAUCAAUUCCUUUUAACUGAAUCAUGAGCAGAACUCUUGUUUAUUACCACUUCAUUGGUAAUUCAAAACCCUUUUUCAACCAUUUAAAGGGGGA
rnacentral:lncRNA from 1 species